UCCCUGGAAGACUAAUGGUUAAGCCACAGCAGUCUUGCCACAGCAGCCCAGGUUCGAUCCUUGGCCAGGGAA